CAAAUUGGGAGAGGAGGAAAAAUGGCUGCACUAUUGUGGCGCCUUAGCCAGUGAGGGAAUGCUAAAGGAAGUGCGGUGAGGGGCUUUAUAUAACGCUCCUGUCUGUUGGCACGUAUUAAACGGCGACCCCGUGAGAAGGGUGUGUGGACGUGAGGUGAUGGAGGGAGGGUCGGCCUGCAGACGCCUGCAGACUAAUUAGUUGUAUUUAUAACUUUUGAGGCCGCGAUGGGAAAUAGCGAGCAGUUGGUUGCAGCUCGUGUUUGAACUGUUGCAUCUGCUGCCUGAAGGCUUCUCACAUCCCAGUGAACUCUAUUCUGUCAGCGGUGACCGGGCUCCUCCGUCCUGUCAUGAGCUGGUGAUCCUGCCCCCAGCCCACCCCUCGCCCCAUGUCUCACCCCUCACAGGACACAGCAGUUUGUCUGGAGCAUGAAAACCCCUCGGCCUGGGAGAGAGGGAACACUCCUCUUUCUGGUGUUAUCGCAGACAUUUCAGUGGCACGUGUGCACAAAGCCCCCCCGCCACUCCAUUUGCUCUUUCGCUCAGGCAGGAUUUUAUUGUCGUUCCCUCUUUUAUCAAGUGUGACAGACUUGUCAGUGUUGUAUUUUUAGAGCGCUGUGCCCUGAGAUCUUGGCGUACCGUCCACUGGAGCACAAAACAACAGAUUGAACAGAUGUUUCCGACACUGUGUCAGGCCUCAGCCACAGAUUCUGUCUGGAGGAAACGCUGCGAGAGGUUAAACUGGAAAAACUGUUUUCUCUGUUUCAACCAUCAUUGGAUAUUCCCCCUGCUCACGUUAGAGGCUCAUAUGCCCACCGAGCAACGAGGCUUCAUGCUGUGGAUGGUGGAGAAUGUUCUACAACUCAAUCGGGAGGAAACUGAAGUCCUGGUCAGUGGUGCCGACGCUCACAGUGAAACUAUAAACACUGUUUUGUGCGUCACACUAGAAAACAGAGGGCAGCCGUGGCUCGGGAGGUAGAGAGGGUCGUCCACUAAACAGAAGGUCGGUCGUUUGAUCCCCAGUAGCUCCACUCUGGGUAUUGAAGCGUGAAUGGGUAAAAGUAUAUUAUAUAUUAAAGAAAUAUAUUAAUAAUUUGAUUCCUGAGAUGUCAUUAUCACCCUUGUGACAAAGAAAUGUAAUCAAGGCCUGAAAUUUUACAGUUUAAUCAUAAACUUAAUUAUAAAGAACAAUAAAACGAAGGGAAACACAAAUACAGGCAAAUAAAUCAAAGUAAGAUCAUAGAAAUAUUUUGAUAUAUUGGUUUGUCUCUUUGUUUCAUGUUUUCUCUUUCUGUUUCAUUUAGUAAAUGAAGAAUAUAUCCAAGCUGUGCAGACUGGGACCAGACAGAAGAACGUCCCAGCAGGUUUCCAGUCAAACACCAGUUCCUCUCGUCGCCUGGUUGAUUAAGGUCAGAGGUCGGAGUCCAACCAGCUCAGCUCAGUUUUAACUCUGGUGUCUCUGUUUCCUGAUAUUUACAUAGUUUACUUUUCUUUGCCUGCCUCAUAAAACAGAUCAUAUAAAUGUGAUAACAGUGUAAUUUUAUUCACUUAGUGGCUUGAGAGCUUUUGAUAUAUAAUCUGUGGCUGAGAGCUUUUCAGCUGCUGAAGAGACGGAGCACGGAAAGUUAGAUUAAUGGACCGAGAGAAGAUUGUUAUUGAUUCUGCAACAUUAUCUUAAUCUACGAGUUUGGAUUGAGAGCACGCGGCGAUUCUGAAAAAAACAAAUAUCACAGACUGAAGCUCUGGAUUGAAUCGGUGGCUGGUGUCACCAUGAUUUGACUGUUGGUUUGUUACAAUCCCAAAGAGCGAGUGACGAUAAUCCUCCUGGAAAGAUAAUAAUAAUAAUAAUAAUAAUGAAUAAUCUCUGAUUUAGAGAAUUAAGUUCGACCUCGUCCACACUAAUGUUGAUAUUUUACAAAACUAACUUUUUCCUCUGUGUUUGUGUUCCUGUUUCUCUCUCUCCACUUCAUCCCACUGCUGCACCUUCUUCUGGUUUUUGAAAAAGUAUAUUUCUGAUAUUUUUAUUAAACCCCUUGAAUUAAAGCUCAAAGUUUACACUUGGA